rnacentral:rRNA from 1 species
UACGUAGGCAGCAAGCGUUGUUCGGAAUUACUGGGCGUAAAGCGUCCGCAGGUGGCACUUCAAGUCUGUCGUCAAAGACUGGGGCUUAACCCUGGAAAGGCGGUGGAAACUGAAGCGCUAGAGUGCGGUAGGGGUAGAGGGAAUUCCCGGUGUAGCGGUGAAAUGCGUAGAGAUCGGGAAGAACAUCGGUGGCGAAAGCGCUCUACUGGACCGCAACUGACACUCAGGGACGAAAGCUAGGGGAGCGAAUGGG